CAGAUGCCACCCGCUUCAUUCAAGUGUCUGGCAGCACUGUGUUCCUGUUAGAGCCACCAGCACAAGCACCAGACGAUGCUGAUCCAGGUGAAGGCCCCAGUGCAGCAGCAACAGCACAUGAUGGAGACGAUGAUGAGGGAGAAGACCAUCUCUCUGGAUUCCAGAAGGCAUGAGGUAUCAUGUUAAGACUGUGAAAGUACUAUUUACUCUACAAUGGUGAGGAGUCCUCAUCAAAAUCAAAAAAUCUAAUU